rnacentral:lncRNA from 1 species
CUAUAUCUCUUUCUUCUUCCUCUUUCUUCUUACUGUCUCAUUCGUUAAGCUUAUUCGAUCAAAAGACUCGUGUUUCCUUCUAGUAUGACGCCAUAACUUAAUUGUUUAGGUGUAUACUAAGAGGAAACUUGAGUUUCGGGGUCGGACAGUCGUUGGUUGAUAUCCCCUGCAUCUUCUCGUGGCUCGAAUAAUGUCAAAUACCCUCGAUUGGUAUGAACCUUACUUCCUUUUUAUUUUCUCUGAUUUUUCGCUUUUGCAAUUAGUAUUAGUUUUAAAGGUCUAAUUUCUAUUAAUGUUGUUGUUAUUUAUGUGCAAUUGGGUAUUAGUUUAAUUACAUGUUACUUUAUAAAUGUGAAUUCCAGUUCUUUGACCUAGCCGAUCAAGUAGUUCGUUAUUGCAUGUUAGUUCUGAUUUUCUAUUCUUCGACCUAGCCGGCCGACUAUUUUGUAUGAAUUUGAUUAAGUUUGAACAUUCAGUUCUUCGACCUAGCCAAUCGACCUUUUUGUUUGUUUAUUCGUUAGUUCUGAUUUUUGAUUCUUCGACCUAGUCGGUCGAUAGUUUUGUAUAGAGUUGUUAAGCUUAAAUUUUCAGUUUUUAGACCUAGUCGGUCCAAUAGCUAAGUCUUUAUGUUUAUUUCAUUAAAAGAAACAAAAGAUUACUUCAAUUAUUUAUAUAGUUAGUCGUAUAUUUAGUUGUUAUUAAUCGUGAUAGUUUAAUGAUGUUCGCUUAAUUUUGUUUCAAGCAAUAAUUUGUGAAAUUCAGUUGUUGUUCCAUGUUAGUUUGCACAAAUCGGAUUCAUUCUAAUCUAGUUUGUUUGAAUACUAAGUUCACGUGUAUAAGUUGAAUUUCAGUCAUGAAUAGAUAAAAGCUGAAUACUUGAGUUUAAAGUACAUAUUUGUUGGAUAUUUUACUGUUUAAACAUGCUGGAAAUCACAACUGCUCUGUUUUGUGUCAGAAUUUGGUGAAAAGUGGAUUGUUUUGGCACCAAAAGUUAGUCCCUUUGGAUAGAUUUUUGGUGAACCAAAAUCUGUCCAAAAGGACCUUUUUCCCUACUUAAAGGGAUCAUUCUUUCAUAUUGAAAAACAUGGGGCAGGAUACAUAGCUUCUGAAAUAUCUUUUACCCUCAAGAAUACACAAAGCUCAAGAGCAAAAAUUAACAGCUGAAUGUCUAAUACUAAGCUGAAACUUGAGAGUUCUGGAGUGAGUUUUCUGAGAGAAAAUAAAGCUAGUUUCUAUUUCUUCUUAAAAGUUGCUGAGUUUUAAGUUUUGUUCUGGUUCGUUUUGGAUUCAACUUACUACUGUUUUUGCUACUGUUUAUUCUGUCACUGCUGCUACAUUUUCGCUAUUGCUGUAUUUCUUCUCUUUAGGUAACCUUCCAACCACUUGUAACACAUGUUCUUUUAUUUAAUAAAAGAUGAUGAAAAUAUGUGCCCGUUUAUCUUAUUU